rnacentral:rRNA from 1 species
AUUGAACGCUGGCGGCAGGCUUAACACAUGCAAGUCGAGCGGGGGAAGGUAGCUUGCUACCGGACCUAGCGGCGGACGGGUGAGUAAUGCUUAGGAAUCUGCCUAUUAGUGGGGGACAACAUCUCGAAAGGGAUGCUAAUACCGCAUACGUCCUACGGGAGAAAGCAGGGGAUCUUCGGACCUUGCGCUAAUAGAUGAGCCUAAGUCGGAUUAGCUAGUUGGUGGGGUAAAGGCCUACCAAGGCGACGAUCUGGAGCGGGUCUGAGAGGAUGGACCGCCACACUGGGACUGAGACACGGCCCAGACUCCUACGGGAGGCAGCGGUGGGGAAUAUUGGACAAUGGGGGGAACCCUGAGCCAGCCAUGCCGCGUGUGUGAAGAAGGCCUUAUGGUUGUAAAGCACUUUAAGCGAGGAGGAGGCUACUUUAGUUAAUACCUAGAGAUAGUGGACGUUACUCGCAGAAUAAGCACCGGCUAACUCUGUGCCAGCAGCCGCAGUAA